UACGUAGGGUGCGAGCGUUGUCCGGAAUUAUUGGGCGUAAAGGGCUCGUAGGCGGCCUGUCGCGUCCGUCGUGAAAGCCCGGGGCUCAACCCCGGGUCUGCGGUGGAUACGGGCAGGCUAGAGUCCGGCAGGGGAGACUGGAAUUCCUGGUGUAGCGGUGAAAUGCGCAGAUAUCAGGAGGAACACCAGUGGCGAAGGCGGGUCUCUGGGCCGGAACUGACGCUGAGGAGCGAAAGCGUGGGGAGCGAACAGGAUUAGAUACCCUGUAGUCC
rnacentral:rRNA from 1 species